GACGAACGCUGGCGGCGUGCUUAACACAUGCAAGUCGAACGAAGUGGCGAACGGGUGAGUAACGCGUAAUCAACCUGCCCUUCAGAGGGGGACAACAGUUGGAAACGACUGCUAAUACCGCAUACUGAAGAAGGGGAAUGCUUCUGAUUAGCUAGUGGGAGGGGUAACGGCCCACCAGGGCGAUGAUCAGUAGCCGGUCUGUGAUGAUGAACGGCCAAAUUGGGAAUGAGACACGGCCCAGACUCCUACGGGAGGCAGCAGUGGGGAAUUUUCCGCAAUGGACGAAAGUCUGACGGAGCAACGCGGCGUGAGUGAUGACGGCCUUCGGGUUGUAAAGCUCUGUGAAUCGGGACGCGGUACCGGAAUAGAAAGCCACGGCUAACUACGUGCCAGCAGCCGCGGUAAUUC
rnacentral:rRNA from 1 species